UGAUGCAGCACGCCGCGUGAGGGAUGAAGGCCUUCGGGUUGUAAACCUCUUUUAUCAGGGAAGAAAAUCUGAUGACGGUUCCUGAAUAAAAAACACCGGCUUACUUGCUGCCAGCCGCCGCGGUAAUGGAGUGGGUGCAAGCGUUGUCCGGAAUUAUUGGGCGUAAAGAGCUCGUAGGCGGUUUGUCGCGUCUGCUGUGAAAUCCCGAGGCUCAACCUCAGGCCUGCGGUGGGUACGGGGGAACUGUGUUGUGGGGGGGGAGAUUGGAACUCCUGGUGUAGCGGUGUAAUGCGCUAAUAUCAAGAACAACACCGAUGGCGAAGGCAGAUCUCUGGGCCAUUACUGACGCUGAAGAACGAAAGCGUGAGGAACGAACAUGAUUAAAUCCCCUGGUACUCCACGCCGUAAACGAUGGCUACUAGAUGUAGGAACCAUUCCCCUCAUUCUGUGACCCAACUAAUUAAUUGUUCCCCCCGCCUGGGAAGCACGGCCGCGUGGCUAUCACU
rnacentral:rRNA from 1 species